CUGCAAUAUAUCAACUCCUCUUUGGAACAAUAAUGCACACAUUGUAAUCAUGGUCAUAUUGGGCAUACCUCAAAUGUCCUCCAUGUGUAACCUUCAGAAAGCAGGAAAUAUGUGCCCGACAAAUCCCAAUAAAAGGCACACAUGACAACUCAUCCCCAAAAAGGCACACAUGGCAACUCAUCCCCAAAAAGGCACACAUGACAACUCAUCCCCAAAUAGGCACACAUGACAACGCAUCUCCAAAAAGGCACACAUAACAACUCAUCCCAAUAAAAGGCACACAUGACAACUCAUCCUCAAAAAGGCACACAUAACAACUCAUCCCAUAAAAGGCACACAUGACAACUAAUCACCAAAAAGGCACACAUGACAACUCAUCCCAAAUAGGCACACAUGACAAGGCAUCUCCAAAAAGGCACACAUAACAACUCAUCCCAAUAAAAGGCACACAUGACAACUCAUCUCCAAAAAGGCACACAUAACAACUCAUCCCAUAAAAGGCACACAUGACAACUAAUCACCAAAAAGGCACACAUAACAACUCAUCCCAUAAAAGGCACACAUAACAACUCAUCACAAAAAAGACACACAUGACAACUCAUCCCCGAAACGGCACACAUAACAACUCAUCCCAAUAAAAGGCACACAUGACAACUCAUCCCCAAAAAUGCACACAUGACAACUCUUCCCAAAAGAGGUACACAUGACAACUCAUCCCCAAAAAGGCACACAUGACAACUCAUCCCCAAAAAGGCACACAUGACAACUCAUCCCCAAAAAGGCACACAUGACAACUCAUCCCCAAAAAGGCACACAUGACAACUCAUCCCCAAAAAGGCACACAAGACAACUCAUACCCAAAAAGGCACACAUGACAACUCAUACCCAAAAAGGCACACAUGACAACUCAU
rnacentral:lncRNA from 1 species